UACGUAGGGGGCUAGCGUUGUCCGGAAUCAUUGGGCGUAAAGCGCGUGUAGGCGGUCCGGUAAGUCCGCUGUGAAAGUCGGGGGGCUCAACCCUCGGAUGCCGGUGGAUACUGUCGGGCUUGAGUACGGAAGAGGCGAGUGGAAUUCCUGGUGUAGCGGUGAAAUGCGCAGAUAUCAGGAGGAACACCAAUUGCGAAGGCGGCACUCUGGGCCGGAACUGACGCUGAGGAGCGAAAGCGUGGGUAGCAAACAGG
rnacentral:rRNA from 1 species